AUUUCCGCCAACUACAUGGGCAUGGGCAAGAGUGCAAUGGAUGCGCUUCCUGAGCUGCGCCGCAAGGGCAUCACUGCCAGCGGCAACAGCUUUAGCAUGGGCGGCAGAACCAUGGAUGCCACCGAGCUUGCCCAGGCUCUGCGUCUGCAGGUCGGUGCACACUUUGAUGCACUUACUUUGCUCCUCUGCAGAAUUCCAGGAGCAGUCAUCGUUCUCCCGCCGCAGCGCAGUUGUUCCUGGUCUGAUGCUCGCUGUCCUUUGUGCCUGCGCAUGCUGCUGCUCCAAACAGCUCAAACAGUGCGCUUCUCCAUUGGUCCAUACACAUGUGCUAACACAGUGCACUCCCUUGUUGGUACAUACCAAUAGAGAAGUGCACUGUAUGCACUUGUGCUAUACGCUGUAAUGUGCCACACUGUAAUGUGCUAUGUGCUCUACACUGUAUACACGAGCACUUACUCAUGUGCACACUUCUCCAUCGGUCUGUACCCAUGUAUACUUGCCCUGGUGACUCAUCCAGUGUGUUUCAUGCUUGCUCUGGGAGGAGAGACCUCCUCAAAGCUCAUGGUAACUGGCUGUUCUCUGUAGGCCCGCCCUGGCAGCCGCCCUUCCACCCCACCCCGUGCGGCAGCUGCGCUCUCUGCACCUGUCAGCAACUCCGCUCCUGCUGCUGCCCCUGCUGCUCCUGCUGCCAGCGCUGCUGGUUUGGAGGGUCUGGCUGCCUACAUCUCCUCCAACUAUGCAGGCAUGGGUUUACAAAAGGUUUAGAAGGGGACUCUCCUUAAUUAGCCAUCAUUGACAAUGCGCAACUGCUAGCUGCAAGUGAAAAGUAGUGUGAUGUACAGGUUGGACAGUGAAAGCAGGUUGUGUAGCACACUGCACAUGAUGACUGUGUGUGCAGUAAUGCAGCACCAAGGGUUGAUAAUCCUAGGUCAGAAGCUAGUACCAAGUGCCAGCACCAGAACAUGAAAUAAAUCCAGUAGUUCAAGGAACACAGAGCGGACUCACAGAAGUUUGGGAGAGCACACUAGAAAAAAAGACAGCACUCGAUAAAUGGCUCAAAUAAGAUGCGUUCAGGACCAAAGACAGGAGCGUAAGGAAAUCACAAGAUGUUGUGGAUUUGUCGUGAUGUCUACCUGCACAUUCACCAAGAAGUGAGGCAGUGCUCGUCAAAAUCCUUCACUGGACAGCUCUCAAGGUACAUCAGCAGGAAGUUCACUCUGCACCCUCUCUUGCCUUAAGGGAGGGCCCACCCAACCUUGGUCUAUCAACUCCCAUCACCUCCCAUUGGAAGGCCUCGCUUUUAUCAGGCCCCUCCCCCGUCUCUUGUGCUCCUCGAGGCUUGUUUGCUUGCUGUCUUGCUCCAUUGCUGUUGGUUUGGAGGAGGCUGUGUCAGGUUCAGAGACUUGUGCAGGAGGUAGCUGUGUAGUAGGCGCAAGUCCAUCACAAGGUUCCCAUCAGUACAUGCUACCACACAAGCGGGAGGCUGCCGUGAAACGCUGCAAGUAGCUUGUGAUCCGUCCGUGUUCUUCCUCCAUCUGUCGCCACUCUGUUGCAGCAUUACUAAUAUUGCUGUGCCACAUUCUCGUUUGUACUGUACAGGCAUGGGCAAGAGCACAAUGGAUGUGCUCCCUGAGCUGCGCCGCAAGGGCAUCACCGCCAGCGGCAACAACUUUGUGAUGGGUGGGCAAGUGAUGAGCGCGCCUGAGAUCGCCAGCGCGCUGCGCCUGCAGGUGUGCCUCGCAAGGUUUACUGCUUGAAUGUGGUGCAGUGGCCGAAAGCCAGCACUGUAUUCCCUCUUGAGAUGCUGGUUUUGAAGGAGCAGAACACAAUCAUAGACCUGCAUGUCAUGCAGUGCUCAGUCAGAGCACAUUUAGAGACCUGUACCUCAUACAGUGCCAUAAACAAACCGUACGUCACUUUAAGACGCAGUAAACAAGGCUCGUGUACAGCUGUUCCUUCCUGCAGGCAGAAAAGAGAUCAUAUCAUGGAAUAUCCGUUGCAUCGCACAAGCACCAAGCAGAAAGCCCUUCAGUGACUCCUUGUUUCGCUUCACAUCUGUCCCCCCUCCCAGGCUCGCACCCCCAGCCGCCCCAACACCCGCCCCUCUUCCCCCGCGCGCUCUGCACCAGCUGCUCCUGCCGCGCCUGCUGCCCCGGUAAGCAGUGCUCAGUGUGUCUUUCUUGGCGUGGAAAGGUUAGGAUUCAUCCUUCUUUAUGCCUGCAUAAGGGCAUCUUUCCGGGAUUGGACUCAGGAACUUGUUUGCUCCUGGGGGAGCACCCCGCAGCGUGCUGCCUUGCUGGGUGUCUUUGAUGUGCUUGUGGGGGCUCCUGAGCAAGUGCUGCUGGGCAUGUGAGUGAUGCCAGGGCGCCUAGGCAUGUGCUGCUGGCGCGGGCUUGUUGGCUGAAUUUGUUGUGCCCACAGCCACCUGGCUGAGCAGUUGGCUCAGCUGCUGCUAUGCCCAAGGAAGGUUUCAAUGUCUUUUAUUGUCUGAGGCAUGGGUAUGGGUAUAGUUUUAGGUUAGUUUGCAUGAGGUUUUGGCCUUCAGCCAGCUUAUUUGAUGCUCAGCCUAGGCUGCUUAGCUUGCUGGACAUUGCCAGCCACACAAGAAAGUCCAUGAUCUCAGAAAGAGAAAACACAGCUCAUUCAAAUUUUGCCGAAGAAAACAGCAAAUAUUACAGCUAUGCUCGGAAUAAUAAAAUCCAAUCUGACCGAGGGGAAUUCUCGUCUGAGGAGAAACCUCCAAGGAGAGAUAAGCAUACGACAUUUGUCUCGAAGAGCACAAAUGUUUGCACAAGUACAAAGGAAAAUGGCAUGUUUCUCGUCUUGCAGAUCAUGUAGACCACAAAGAUCACAGUGACCAUUAACGCCAGCCUGCCAACAAGCUCUCUCUACUCCCUUAGUCUGAAACAGGAAAUGUUGGGUGUGGAUAAGGACACAAGUUCAGCCAGCACCUUCUUGCGCCUUGACCUCUUUUUUUCCUGCAACAGGUAAUACUCAUGGGGGGGUUUUGUGAGAAGGACAGGAGCAAAUAAUGUGCUGGGAUGCAUGAAAUUUUGAGCAGCACUCCUCCCAUCCUGAUCUCUUCAUUUCCUCCAACGAUUAAGAUGGAAUGUUCCUCUCUUGGUAUUGCAGGCCUCCAGCCCUGCUCCUGCUGCCAGCGCCUCUGGCUCUUUGGAUUCCCUGGCUGCCUACAUCUCCGCCAACUACAUGGGCAUGGGCAAGUCCGCAAUGGAUGUCCUUCCUGAGCUGCGCCGCAAGGGCAUCUCCGCCAGCGGCAACAGCUUUGUGAUGAAUGGGCAAAUGAUGAGCGCACCAGAGAUCGCCAGUGCUCUGCGCCUGCAGGUAAGAGCAAACUCCGAGAUUACUUUGCAGAAGGGCUCUUUAUGCCAGGAUUUUUCGAGGCAGCCCAUCUUUUUGACCUGAGGCGUCCGUGAACAACCAACUAAAUUGUUUCAGGUCCUCACGCUUUAUGGUUUAAAGCCAACAAACUCCCUUCUCGAUCCCAUGAGGCUGGCCAUCCUUUUGGCCAAGAUCGCAUCCUGCUUUGUGUGAGAAGGUAGCAGGCUGAGGCCAAACCCCCUUUUUUUCCACUUGAUGGAAGGUGCUUGAGAAAGACAAGAAUUGCAUCGCCAAAGGAAAGGAGGAGCAAUUGUACUUCAAAAGAAUUUCAGGAUCAGGAACAUUGAGAGCAAGGAGGCACUAAGCUUGUUCAUUCUUUCAGCCGUCUCUUCCGGUAUGUGUGCUAAAAGCAAGCGUGGUGAUUGAGAAGGCAGUUCAGACAGGCAAGCUCCAUGACACCAUACGACAGUAAUCGCACGCAUUUCAAGGUGCUUGCACUUCUUUUCACGUGUGUCGCAGGUAGCACAAGCAUCAGGAAAUGCUUGCGAUCCCUGUUGUAUGGUGUCAUGGAGCUUGUCUGUGCAGGAGGGCAAGGAGGCACUACAUGCAGAGGGGAGAGGCAGACAAAUUCUUGCACUCCCUCUUACACGGUGUCAUGGAGCUUUUCUGUAGAAGAGAGGAAGCUCUGUAUACCGGGGGAAGGGGAGAGAACCUCUUGGAGACUGUAGAAACCAUUUUCCUGUGUUCAAGCUCAGCAUGACUGGUAUAAUGCCAAGUACUGCGUAUACCAAUUAAGGAAAGAUGGUCCUCCCGCUGCCCCCCCCGCCUAGGCAUAAAGGAGAAUCAUUAACCGACUUCCAACCAGACCUCCGAUUGACCCCCUUUUUCUUGGCUCCACGCAUCAUUGCAAUCUGCAACUCUGUGCCAAACUGGAGGUGGCAGCUUGCAGCACAGGGCAAGCUGAUGGAGGUCCAGCAUCCUGCGCCCAUAUCCGGUUCAAUAGGUCUCCCCACCGGCAUGCUCCCCCUGUGCCACCUCUGCAAGAUCUGACAUCUUAGCAUGGUUAGACGACCUAAGAGCAGCUGUAGGCCAGGGGCGCUGGUCAUUUGGUGCAAGUUCAAAAGUCCACUCUUUUCCAUUGUACUCGAAAUGGGUGCAAAACAGCCUCUCGAGCCACACAGUGCACCUCCACAUCCCGACUUCUCAGCUAUUCUCAAUGCUUGGGACAUGAAAACACGUUUGGCCAUGUUUGGUAAACUUAGAGCACACAGACUUGCAUGCAAAAAGUGCAGAUGCCAUAAUGGCACUGUGAGGGGGAAUCCAGCUGCGGGGGGAAGCAGAUGCCAAAGGCUGAGGGGCUGCCUCUCCACCAGAAUUUAAAAUUUUGCACUGAACUCGAGACAUAUCAAAUACAACCUCGUCUACGAAUCCAAGUGAAAAUUCUGUGAUACACCACUCAGCUUGAGUUGCAUCAACUUCUAUGCAGGCCCGCACACCCAGCCGCCCAUCCACCCCCACCCGCUCUCGUCCUGCUGAGCCAGCUCCCGCCAGCUACUCCGCUCCUGCUGC
rnacentral:lncRNA from 1 species